UAUUGCACAAUGGGCGGAAGCCUGAUGCAGCAACGCCGCGUGAGGGAUGACGGCCUUCGGGUUGUAAACCUCUUGUAGUAGGGAAGAAGCGCCAGUGACGGUACCUGCAGAAAAAGCACCGGCUAACUACGUGCCAGCAGCCGCGGUAAUACGUAGGGUGCAAGCGUUGUCCGGAAUUAUUGGGCGUAAAGAGCUAGUAGGCGGUUUGUCGCGUCUGCUGUGAAAUCCCGAGGCUCAACCUCGGGCUUGCAGUGGGUACGGGCAGACUAGAGUGAGGUAGGGGGGAUUGGAAUUCCUGGUGUAGCGGUGGAAUGCGCAGAUAUCAGGAGGGACACCGAUGGCGAAGGCAGAUCUCUGGGCCGUAACUGACGCUGAGGAGCGAAAGCGUGGGGAGCGAACAGG
rnacentral:rRNA from 1 species